AAUGAACGCUGGCGGCGCGCCUAAUACAUGCAAGUCGAGCGAGAAGACGUAGCAAUACGUUUGUAAAGCGGCGAACGGGUGAGGAAUACAUGGGUAACCUACCCUCGAGUGGGGAAGUAACUAGCCGAAAGGUUAGCUAAUACCGCGUACGCUCCUUGGACUUCGGUUCAGGGAGGAAAGCGAUACCGUGGGUAUCGCGCUCUUGGAUGGGCUCAUGUCCUAUCAGCUUGUUGGUGAGGUAACGGCUCACCAAGGCUUCGACGGGUAGCUGGUCUGAGAGGACGAUCAGCCACACUGGCACUGCGACACGGGCCAGACUCCUACGGGAGGCAGCAGUAAGGAAUAUUGCGCAAUGGGCGAAAGCCUGACGCAGCGACGCCGCGUGGGGGA
rnacentral:rRNA from 1 species